rnacentral:rRNA from 1 species
AGAGCGAACGCUGGCGGCAGGCCUAACACAUGCAAGUCGAGCGCCCGUAGCAAUACGGGAGCGGCAGACGGGAUAGUAACACGUGGGAACGCGCCCUUCGGUUCGGAAUAACUCAGGGAAACUUGAGCUAAUACCGGAUACGCCCUUACGGGGAAAGAUUUAUUGCCGAAGGAACGGCCCGCGUCCGAUUAGCUAGUUGGUGAGGUAAUGGCUCACCAAGGCGACGAUCGGUAGCUGGUCUGAGAGGAUGACCAGCAUCACUGGGACUGAGACACGGCCCAGACUCCUACGGGAGGCAGCAGUGGGGAAUAUUGGACAAUGGGCGCAAGCCUGAUCCAGCCAUGCCGCGUGGAUGAUGAAGGCCUUAGGGUUGUAAACCCCUUUCAGUUGGGACGAAGCUUCGUCGGUUAAUAGCCGACUGGAGUGACGGUACCUUCACAAGAAGCACCGGCUAACUACGUGCCAGCAGCCGC